UACGGGGGGGGCAAGCGUGUUCGGAAUUAUUGGGCGUAAAGCGCGCGCAGGUGGUUUCUUAAGUCUGAUGUGAAAGCCCACGGCUCAACCGUGGAGGGUCAUUGAAAACUGGGGAACUUGAGUGCAGGAGAGAAGAGUGGAAUUCCACGUGUAGCGGUGAAAUGCGUAGAGAUGUGGAGAACACCAGUGGCGAAGGCGACUCUU
rnacentral:rRNA from 1 species